CGCCAACAGAAUAAGUCAUCACGGCAUAAAAUAUAGGAACAGCAUUCAUCAGAACUUGGAGGAUCAUGCCGCCGGUUCCUAAGGCCAUCCAUGAUCCGUCCAAAUAAGGUGAGCUGUUCCUCCUCACUCUGCUGAAGGUGCAUUUCUAUAGUCUUAUUUGUAACGAAGAGAGGGAGCAAGUGUUCUCUGGUGCAUAGAGCUGACUGUCCGAGACAUUGUGACCAUCAACGCCACUCCUCCAAGUGCUUCCGCGCAUCUGGGUCGUAAUGAUCGAGGGCAGUUUUCAUGAGCUGUGCAUUCGUCAGCCUUGCAGCGUCAACCACAGCGCCAUCUAGACCGAAGGAGCGUAUAACUCCGUCAUCGGCAACAUGUUUAUAUCCGCCAGGGGCACUCUUCAAGCGGCCGAUAAUGUCGUGCACACUCUAUGUCUAGGCACAUAUCCAAUGUCAACUUUAGCUUGAUGAGUUCCCCUAGAGGAAGUAUUUAAGUCUUCGGAACUGAGAACUGAGAAUGGGAACUACCUUAGCAAGCUCAAACUCAGUACCCUGAUUUCAAACAGAAAGGUACUGAUAUGUCAGAAUUGCUUCUCACCCACAUCGCUUUGAGAAGAACACAGUUACAUAACUUACUCCCGUUCUUGUCCACCCAGCAACAACACCAAGAAGAGCAAACGAAUGCGAAAAUCGAAGCUUCAUAGCUGAAGAUUAGAAAAAUGGAUUGAAGCAGAUAAAAAUCUUCCCCGGGCCCCCUCCCUCCAAAAUUAAAACGAACAGAUAAUAAGAAGAAAGCGCAAAUAUAAAACCGUGCCAAGCGCCCUCCUUACUCCCGUUCGUGAGUGCGCCACUAUUUUGAGGAUGCUGAACUUUAAAAAUUAUAAUCAAUCACCACGCAUCUAUAUACCCACU
rnacentral:sRNA from 2 species